rnacentral:rRNA from 1 species
GAUAUUCUGGUGUCUCAAGCGUGGAGGAACCACACCGAUCCAUCCCGAACUUGGUGGUGAAACUCUACCGCGGUAACGAUACUGCAGGGGGAGCCCUGCGGAAAAAUAGCUCGACGCCAGGAU